UCCGUAGGCGGGUAAUUAAGUCAGAGGUGAAAUCCCACAGCUUAACUGUGGAACUGCCUUAGAUACUGGUUAUCUUGAGUUUUAGUGAAGUAGAUAGAAUGUGUAGUGUAGCGGCGAAAUGCAUAGAUAUUACACAGAAUACCGAUUGCGAAGGCAGUCUACUAACUAACAACUGACGCUAAUGGACGAAAGCGUGGGGAGCGAACAGGAUUAGAUACCCUGGUAGUCC
rnacentral:rRNA from 1 species